CCAGACGGCCGGGCAGCCGCUGGUACGCGGGUAACUGCGUACUGGAGGAAAGUCCGGGCUCCAGGGAAACAGGGCGACGGCUAACGGCCGCCCGGCGUGAGCCGAGGGAAAGUGCCACAGAAAGCAAACCGCCUCCCCCUCGGGAGAGGUAAGGGUGAAAGGGUGGGGUAAGAGCCCACCGCAGGCCUGGCGACAGGACUGGCACGGUAAACCCCGCCCGGAGCAAGACCGAAUAGGGGGCACAUAUGGGCUGUUUCACGCCCGUGCCCCGGGUGUGUCGCGUGAGGUGCCUGGCAACAGGCAUCCCAGAGGAAUGGCUGCCGGACCGUGGCAACACGGCGAACAGAACCCGGCUUACAGGCCGUCUGGUCUU
rfam:Hyphomonas sp. L-53-1-40 contig1, whole genome shotgun sequence.